CUACGUGCCAGCAGCCGCGGUAAUACAGAAGGUCCAGGCGUUAUCCGGAUUUAUUGGGUUUAAAGGGAGCGUAGGCGGAUUAUUAAGUCAGUGGUGAAAGACGGUGGCUCAACCAUCGUUAGCCAUUGAAACUGGUAGUCUUGAGUGCAGACAGGGAUGCUGGAACUCGUGGUGUAGCGGUGAAAUGCUUAGAUAUCACGAUGAACUCCAAUCGCGAAGGCAGGUGUCCGGGCUGCAACUGACGCUGAGGCUCGAAAGUGUGGGUAUCAAACAGGAUUAGAUACCCUGGUAGUCCACACAGUAAACGAUGUAUACUCGCGGUUUGCGAUAGACAGUAAGCCGCCAAGCGAAAGCAUUAAGUAUACCACCUGGGGAGUACGCCGGCAACGGUGAAACUCAAAGGAAUUGACGGGGGCCCGCACAAGCGGAGGAACAUGUGGUUUAAUUCGAUGAUACGCGAGGAACCUUACCCGGGCUUGAAC
rnacentral:rRNA from 1 species